rnacentral:rRNA from 1 species
AGAGUUUGAUCCUGGCUCAGAUUGAACGCUGGCGGCAUGCCUUACACAUGCAAGUCGAACGGUAACAGGUCUUCGGAUGCUGACGAGUGGCGAACGGGUGAGUAAUACAUCGGAACGUGCCCGAUCGUGGGGGAUAACGAAGCGAAAGCUUUGCUAAUACCGCAUAAGAUCUACGGAUGAAAGCAGGGGACCGCAAGGCCUUGCGCGAACGGAGCGGCCGAUGGCAGAUUAGGUAGUUGGUGGGAUAAAAGCUUACCAAGCCGACGAUCUGUAGCUGGUCUGAGAGGACGACCAGCCACACUGGAACUGAGACACGGUCCAGACUCCUACGGGAGGCAGCAGUGGGGAAUAUUGGACAAUGGGCGAAAGCCUGAUCCAGCAAUGCCGCGUGAGUGAAGAAGGCCUUCGGGUUGUAAAGCUCUUUUGUCAGGGAAGAAACGGCUGAGGAUAAUACCUUUGGCUAAUGACGGUACCUGAAGAAUAAGCACCGGCUAACUACGUGCCAGCAGCCGCGGUAAUACGUAGGGUGCAAGCGUUAAUCGGAAUUACUGGGCGUAAAGCGUGCGCAGGCGGUUUUGUAAGUCUGACGUGAAAUCCCCGGGCUCAACCUGGGAAUUGCGUUGGAGACUGCAAGGCUGGAGUCUGGCAGAGGGGGGUAGAAUUCCACGUGUAGCAGUGAAAUGCGUAGAGAUGUGGAGGAACACCGAUGGCGAAGGCAGCCCCCUGGGUCAAGACUGACGCUCAUGCACGAAAGCGUGGGGAGCAAACAGGAUUAGAUACCCUGGUAGUCCACGCCCUAAACGAUGUCUACUAGUUGU